UGGGAUUUAGCUCAGUGGCAUAAGCACCUGCCUUGCAAGCAGGUGGUCGUGAGUUCAAUCCCUG
rnacentral:tRNA from 1 species